rnacentral:rRNA from 1 species
UACGAAGGGGGCUAGCGUUAUUCGGAAUGAUUGGGCGUAAAGGACACGUAGGCGGUUUUGUAAGUUUUGUGUGAAAUCCCUGGGCUUAACCCAGGAAUUGCGCGAAAUACUGCAUGACUUGAGUAUGGGGGAGGAUAGUGGAAUCUUUGGUGUAGAGGUGAAAUUCUUAGAUAUCAGAGAGAACGUCGGAGGCGAAAGCGACUAUCUAAAACAUUACUGACGCUGAGGUGUGAAGGCGUGGGGAGCAAAUCGG